GUGGCCUUGUUAGAGGAAGUGUGUCACUGUGGGAGUGGGCUUUGAGGUUUCCUAUGUUCAAGAUGCUGCCCAGUGACACAGUCCUUUCUGUUGCCUUCUGGUCAAGAUGUAGUCAGCACCAUGUCUGCCUGAACACCGCCAUGCUCCCUGCCAUGACGAUAAUGGACUGAACCUCUGAAACUGUUUCUGACUCAGCUGGCUGUUCCUGGGGAAGAGCCACUCCAGUGAUUCCAGCCAGCACCCCAAUGACUGUGGGAUACACGGUGUUGUUCCUGACUUCCAUCCUGAGGCUCAGUCUCAUAGAUUGGUGCCAGCCCAAUUGUCAUCAGAGAGGCUUCAUCCAGCAACUGAUGGAAAUGGAUGCAGACCCACAGUCAAACAUUAAGCAGAGCUCAGGGAAUCCUGCAGAAGAGGAGGAGGAAGGAUUUUUAGGAGCCAGAGGGGUAAAAAACAUCACAAGAAAACUCACAGAAUCAACUAACCUGGGCUCAUAGGGGCUUACAUUGACUGGACUAACAACCAGGAAGCCUGCAUGGGAAUGACCUUGGUAAUCUUCAUAUAUGUUACAGAACCCAGGACCACCAACCAAGGGGUGGCACCAUCUACAAUCAUUUCAAUCACUAAGUAGGAAAAUGCCCUACAAAUUUGCAUAAAGCUCAAUCUCAUGGAUGAAUUUUCUCAACCGAGUCUCCCUCCUCUCCAAUGACUUUAGCUUGUAUCAAGUCAACAUAAAACUAGACAGCUCAGUUUGUGUUCUGUGUUGUGCUGCUCAUGGGCUGCCUCUGUGUCUUCCCAACCUCUCCAGCAAACAGUCUUGGUUCUGUUGUUGGGUGAAUUCCUGUAUCCCUGCCUCCAAAUCCAUAUAUUAACCCAAUCUCCCAUGUGAUGGGCAUCUGAAGAUUAGUUUUGGGGAAGGAGAUUAGGGUCCAAUGAAACCUUCAUGAUGGGAUGAAGGCUUUCAUGAAAGAAAGAGAAAAAUCAAGCUCUCUCUGAAGGUACAACCAAGAAGAAAUCCCUUUCCAAGAACCCCACUAUUGUGGCAUCUUCAUCCCAGCUCUCCAGCCUCCAGAUCUCUGAAAAACAGAGUUCCAUUCUAUAGGCCAUCUGUCCAUGACAUUACACUUGAGAUGGCCAAGAUAGACAUUCUCCUUACAAAUGGGAAAAGCCAAGACUCAGAGAUGUUAAUUAUAGUCACCUGUCCAAGCCAGACUGCUCCUUUCCUCCUGAACCAUGCCCUCAACACAGCUGAGCUCUGUUCUGAUCCCUCUCACUAGUGUCAUUCAGUCUUCUUGAUGGUGAUGAUUGAUUUUCUGUGUCAUGGCUUGUUUCCAGGCUUGCAUCAUAAGCCCUUUGAGAGUUGCUUUCCGUUAUACUUAGGUGAAAACACAGUGCCUGCUUUGUGAUUGACAACACAUGAACAGAUAUUCUAGCUCCCGAUUCAGGAGAAAGGAUCAAAACAUCAGACACUCCCUUGACAUUCAUUAAUUUGACCUCAUGUAAUGUGCAUUAUGUUGGUAAACUGUCACGUGUUUCUGGAACUCAUUGAGAAGCUGUCUCUGGAAAUGGGAAAUGCCCUUCCACUCCAGACCCCUUAUAUUUGUGUCAAGCAUCCUCCAAGACCCUUUAUUUGGGGAUGGGUCUCUAACUCAGUGACAGAGAGGGACGAAAAUGGCAAAAACAGCCCAAAAGCAAAGACACCUUGAAGAUGCCUUGAGAAGGUAAACCAAUCUGUUGUUUACCCAGUGUUAUAAAAGGGCUACAGUAAGAAAGAUAAGCCACAGAUUCAGCCAAGAACAGAAGGCUCAAUCAGGAAUUUCCGCUAAUUGCCUCAACUUCCCUGGCCAGUAUAUAAUGAAUUUUAGGAGUGCCCAGUUUGGUGAUCUCAUCUUCCUGCUAUUAUUUGAUCUUCACUUUGGAAGGCUCACCUGAAGGGACAGUAUUUCACUGGGGCAUCUGGAUCGGGAACUCCAGCUGACUGCCUUAAAGGGGCUGCCCCAGCUGGUUUCUGCUGGAUGUUUGAAGUGCAGGAUUUGAUAUUUUGCAUGGCCUCUCCCAUCUCCAUCCUUGAUACGUAUCCUUUCAUUUUGGUUGGCUACACUUUCAAUAAAUCGGCUAUCAUAGAUCAAUCUGAGGACACAGUCCACAGUGUCAUUUGACACUAAUAUGUGGCAAAAUAAGCACUCUCAAAAG
ensembl:lncRNA